GUUUACACGAAGUUCCGAAAAAGAAUUGUUUCUCGCUUAGUUGAGUCUUAGAGUAGUUGGUUACUCUUGAGGUUGAGUUGAGAUCCUAUUUGUUUUACUUUCACAGUCUUGUUGCGUCAGGUGCCGGUCUUCAGUCUUAGAUACCGGUAGGCUACAUGAGGAUGAUGUGGGAUCCAACAGCUACUGUCGAAGCGUUGAUAUUGUCACCACCAGAGACCGAUGAGCAGGCUAUACCUUGUUCAAAAUGCUAUGGCCGUGGAAUGUCAUUCUCUAAGGAUGAUGUAGAAGAUUUGAAGUUGAGGGCAGCAGCUCUGGCUCAAACUGCAACUAGGAGGAAAGAAUUGGCCGAUUGUCCUGUGGAGCAGAGGUGUGAAUCAACUGCACAGUUGCGAAAAGCAAGUGGUGCCAUUCCAAAGACCAGGUUUUGGAAAGCUGCUGGAAGAGGAAAAAUGCUAGAAAAGUGUAGCGCAAAUUGUGCAAUACUUGGUUCCACCAAAGGUUUAAUCUGGAUGUAAAAUGCUUUGAGACCUCUA